rnacentral:rRNA from 1 species
ACGCUCGACACCUACGGGAGCAGCAGUGGGGAAUAUUGCACAAUGGGGGAAACCCGUGAUGCAGCAACGCCGCGUGAGUGAAGAAGUAUUUCGGUAUGUAAAGCUCUAUCAGCAGGGAAGAUAAUGACGGUACCUGACUAAGAAGCUCCGGCUAAAUACGUGCCAACAGCCGCGGUAAUCUGAGCGGGCUGGCAAGGC